GACGAACGCUGGCGGCGAGCUUAACACAUGCAAGUCGAACGGAAAGGCCCUGCUUUUGUGGGGUGCUCGAGUGGCGAACGGGUGAGUAACACGUGAGUAACCUGCCCUUGACUUUGGGAUAACUUCAGGAAACUGGGGCUAAUACCGGAUAGGGGCUCCUGCUGCAUGGUGGGGGUUGGAAAGUUUCGGCGGUUGGGGAUGGACUCGCGGCUUAUCAGCUUGUUGGUGGGGUAGUGGCUUACCAAGGCUUUGACGGGUAGCCGGCCUGAGAGGGUGACCGGCCACAUUGGGACUGAGAUACGGCCCAGACUCCUACGGGAGGCAGCAGUGGGGAAUAUUGCACAAUGGGCGGAAGCCUGAUGCAGCAACGCCGCGUGCGGGAUGACGGCCUUCGGGUUGUAAACCGCUUUCGCCUGUGACGAAGCGUGAGUGACGGUAAUGGGUAAAGAAGCACCGGCUAACUACGUG
rnacentral:rRNA from 1 species